CAUAAUCAUAUUAUUACAUUAUUGAUUUAAUCUAUUCUGUGAUUUGACUAUGAAGUUUUCGGUAGUUUGCUGUAAUUUUCUACUUGGUUAUAACGUCAAAACAAUUUGUUCUUAACUACUAACCAGGUUGCUCAAAACUGCGACUCCAAAAUAGGCCUGUUAUUAAUUGAUUUGCGGAUUAUUGUUUUUUUUUAACAAAUAUUUUUAGCGAAGUGAAAUUUCAACUAUUUAUGUCAUUAAUUUUUAAUAUAAUAUCUAAUUUUCUGGUAAGUUCACCCAAACGUGUCUGUUGGUUUUGAUCCUCUAAUCUAAUAACAUCAGAAUCUGUUCCUACUCAAUAAUAAUAACAGACCUAACAUGGAUAGCUACUAUAUACCAUGCAACGAAGUAAAAGAGGAAUAUGAAAAAUGUUUUAAUUCUUGGUUUACCGAAUGUUUUAUGAAAGGAGAUUACAAUGACAAAAGAUGCGCAAAACAGUUUGAUGAAUACCAAAAAUGUCUUCGCGAUGAUUUGAAAGCACAUAAUGUUGAUAUCAAUGAAGUUUUAAAGACUUAUUCGGGAACAAAUCGCAUGAAAAAAUAAAGUUAUCCAAUUACUUUGUUUAUAUCAAUUUUUUUUUUGUAUAUAAUAUUAAAUAAAUUAUAAUACUGCACGUAGAUAAAUUUAGUAAAUAUAUUUUGCUAUUAAUAUUUUUAAUUGUUGUAUAUUAUAUUAUUUGUAGGAUUAAUUCAUUAAUUUUGUAUUUUACAGUUGAUUUUAAAUUCAAUAAGUUGGCAAAUGUAAUUUCUUAUUUCUUUAAUAUUUUUAUGCAUAUUAGUAUAUAUUUUAUAUCAUGAACAGAUUUUUGUAUAACCAGAUGUUAUGAUUAAAUAAAUAUUAAUAUUAUAUAUUAUUUUACAUAAUCCAUUUUACCUA